UUACGGUCAAAUCACGUUGAAAACACCGGUUCUCGUUCGAUCACCGAAGUUAAGGUUCAUCGUAGAGCCAGGUCAAACGGUACUUACGAUAGGGAACGGCUUGGGAACGCCUUUGUACUGUAAG